rnacentral:rRNA from 1 species
GACGAACGCUGGCGGCGUGCUUAACACAUGCAAGUCGAACGGAAAGGCCCUGCUUGCCGGGUACUCGAGUGGCGAACGGGUGAGUAACACGUGGGUGAUCUGCCCUGCACUUCGGGAUAAGCCUGGGAAACUGGGUCUAAUACCGGAUAGGAGCCAUUUUUAGUGUGAUGGUUGGAAAGUUUUUUCGGUGUAGGAUGAGCUCGCGGCCUAUCAGCUUGUUGGUGGGGUAAUGGCCUACCAAGGCGGCGACGGGUAGCCGGCCUGAGAGGGUGGACGGCCACAUUGGGACUGGGAUACGGCCCAGACUCCUACGGGAGGCAGCAGUGGGGAAUAUUGCACAAGGGGCGCAAGCCUGAUGCAGCGACGCCGCGUGGGGGAUGACGGCCUUCGGGUUGUAAACUCCUUUCGCUAGGGACGAAGCUUUUUGUGACGGUACCUAGAGAAGAAGCACCGGCUAACUACGUG